rnacentral:tRNA from 1 species
GCCUCCUUAGCUCAGUGGUAGAGCAACGCUCUUGUAAAGCGUAGGUCGUCAGUUCGAUCCUGACAGGGGGCUCCA